CACAGUUGCACAUGGAUACAGCGAUGAGCCACGUUGGCAUGAGAAAUUCAGCAAGUUCACACUGCGAAGCUACCUAAGAAAAGGAAAUAGCAAGCCGAAGCGCUCUGCAAGAUGAAUGCCCGCACUGUUUAUCUCCUGCUUUUAUCAGCUGCUAUUGCAGGAGCUUAUCCAAGGCACCGGAUCAACGCUGUUUACAAACGCGCACAGCAAUGGCCUGGUGCGGUAAGCCAGUUUCCAACUCUGCCACCUUCCUUUGGAAACAACCCUUGGCUGCCAGGUUCCGGAAGCCAAUGGCCACUAUCAUUACCGCCGUACAACACCAACUAUGGUAGUAAAGUUAUGCCCGGUUCAGCAAUGCAGCAACUUCCAUCCUUGUCCGACAACGGUGGUAACAGUCAACAGGUUCCACUCAGACCUAGGGCACCCGUGCC
rnacentral:lncRNA from 1 species